GAGCGAUCAAGUGCCUUAAGAGCAUUCGGUGGAUGCCUUGGCGCUGAGAGGCGAUGAAGGACGUGGUACGCUGCGAUAAGCC
rnacentral:rRNA from 1 species